UAUUGAGAAAAUAACACCGUGUCACUCUCGUGAUUAUUUCUCCCCUGUUUUCAGGGGCGUAACACAGACACCCAUGCAUACCCCACAAGACAUGCCGCCAGAGGUCUCUUCACAAUCCCCAAGUCCAGAACAGACUAUGGGAUGCACACAUUAUUACAUAGAGCCAUGACUACUAUUCUACAUCAGGUAAAUGAUGCAAGCAGUAGAAUCAGAUAAGAAAACAAGUAUAAAUACACUUUAUGGAACAGCGGGGACUGUGAAGAGACACACACAAAGGUACACAAGCGCUAGCACACUCACUCUACAAACACAAACAUACAUUGUAAGAUUGUUGUAGGGGGUAUUAUACAUUUUGCAUUAUAGUGUAAUAAUAUAUGAUGUACGGUUUUAUCUUUUGUUUUAUAUGUAAUGUAAGUGCCUUAAUGUUUUCGGACCCCAGGAAGAGUAGCUGCUGCCUUGGUAGCAGCUAAUGGGGAUCCCUAAUAAAUAGAAAUUGUCCGCUCCAUUAAAACUUGAGACAUC